rnacentral:rRNA from 1 species
GACGAACGCUGGCGGCGUGCCUAAUCCAUGCACGUAGAACGCAGUUGCGAACGGGUUAGUAACGCGUAGGUCACUGCCUGGUAGCGGGGGUUAACUAUUGGAAACGAUAGCUAAUACCGCAUACUACCAGAUGGACCUGCGUUGUAUUAGCUAGUUGGUGGGGGAACGGCUCAACAAGGCAACGAUACAUAGCCGAACUGAGAGGGGGAGCGGCCACACUGGGACUGAGAAACGGCCCAGACUCCUACGGGAGGCAGCAGUAGGGAAUCUUCGGCAAUGGACGGAAGUCUGACCGAGCAACGCCGCGUGAGUGAAGAAGGUUUUCGGAUCGGAAAGCUCUGUUGUAAGAGAAGCGGUAUCUUACCAGAAAGGGACGGCUAACUACGUGCCAGCCGCCGCGGUAAUUC